rnacentral:rRNA from 1 species
CAGCAGCCGCGGGAAUACGUAGGAGGCAAGCGUUGUCCGGAAUUAUUGGGCGUAAAGGGCUCGCAGCGGUUUCUUAAGUCUGAUGUGAAAGCCCCCGGCUCAACCGGGGAGGGUCAUUGGAAACUGGGAAACUUGAGUGCAGAAGAGGAGAGUGGAAUUCCACGUGUAGCGGUGAAAUGCGUAGAGAUGUGGAGGAACACCAGUAGCGAAGGCGACUCUCUGGUCUGUAACUGACGCUGAGGAGCGAAAGCGUGGGGAGCGAACAGGAUUAGAGACCCCUGUAGUCCCUGUCUCUUAUACC